CCCACCUGAAUAAAUGCCUGUUCUCAGGUUAGGCCGCCUCUGGCUGCUACCAUACGACCCAUCUCUCAUCAUGGAACACAGGAAGUUUAGUAUCUUUUUAUUGAGAAAUUUGUUUAGCAAGACAGAAAUAUGCAAAUUUUACGCAUGCACAAGUAGUACGACCAACCUUCACUAUACCGAACUAUUUAUAGGUGACCCUCUCGUAGAGUCAGCUCCACGCAUGAUUAAGUAUUUUUUAUGAAUUGUAUUUUACAUAAAUCUGAGUUUUUGGUGAGGGAAAUCGUAUAGUAUCCGGAAAAAAACCCUCGGAAUCAGCCACAACGGACUAAUACACGAGUUUUCAAGCGUUCGAUAUAAAUAUAGAGAUAAAUAAUUGUUUAAAGUUGACUAUGAGGAUCUGCUUCCAAAUCUGUGGCGCUUACUGUCACCCUUCUAUUGCCCUAGAGAUGGGAAGGUGAUGUAAAAUACGCCAAUGUUGUUUUAUUAUCUGUAUUAGCUUAUCCCAUUGUACAGCGUACAAUAUAAGUCCUUCGUCAUUGAUCACAUGGUUUCUAAAAUCUUGUUGACUCGCUUCUACGGACUUCUCUAUUUGUGGGUCAUUGAUUGUUACCUUCCCAUCUUUUCUUUUGUCUAAUUCACACACUUCAACAUGACCCGCUGAAUUAGCCUCUGAAAUAAUUCUUCCAAGUAUCACUACACCUAGCCCACCACCAUCCAUUUCCACGAGUGUUUUCCAUGCGUUAUCUAUCUCACUCGCAGGCUCAUACUUGAACUCCUUAGCUCUUGUGACUAUUCCGCAUUUCUCUAACAUUUCCAUUAACCGGUCGCACUGUAAAUCUUCGUUUUCAAUUUGGUGGCUUGCAUGCGCUGUUAUUAUCUUUUCUAACUGGCGACCACAAAGGUCUCGCAGAUCCAGAUAUUUUCCGCAAAUCCAACCUUAUGGCACAUAGCACACAAUUUUUAUUGCAAUCCUUAUGCUUCAACUGCAUUUUGGUCGUCUCUAAUUCGUUUUUUAAUUUCUCAAUUUCGUUUUUGUUGUUUUGAAUUUCUUCUUUCAAUUGAGAAUUUUCUGCUUUUAACUGCAUUACCUCGGCUGCUAGAAUUUUUUGAGUAGGUCCACUGUUAUUUCUUUCCAUGUUCUAGUUUUGGGAGAGCUUGCAGACUUGAUAACUUUC